UACAGAGGGUGCAAACGUUGCUCGGAAUUACUGGGCGUAAAGCGCGUGUAGGCGGUUCGUUAAGUCGUCUGUGAAAGCCCAUGGCUCAACCAUGGAAGUGCAGCCGAUACUGGCAAACUUGAGUCCUGGAGAGGGUGGCGGAAUUCCCAGUGUAGAGGUGAAAUUCGUAGAUAUUGGGAGGAACACCGGUGGCGAAGGCGGCCACCUGGACAGGUACUGGACGCUGAGACGCGAAAGCGCGGGUAGCAAACAGG
rnacentral:rRNA from 1 species